UCCCUUUCAAUCGGCCCCGGGACAGCCUAUAUCUGCGGUGCCGGCUUGCCGGCUAUGGUGAUAAACGGUGAUUGGAAUAAUCGUUGUGGACCCGGGGGCAGUGCCCGGCGCCUCCACCAAACCUCAUCCCUUGCAAAAGGGUGGGUUAUUUGGGGGCGAAACAGGCUCGACACGCGUGGUAAAGACUCAUCUUUUGCCCGGCAUUGUACCGCCGUUAUCGGGCUGUAAUACAAGUGCCAAUGACAAUCAUGAGGCAUUCGCUGUCGCAGCGUAAGCUGCAAUAAGCGCGGUUAGGGGGGCCCCGGGCAACAGAAUGCCCCCCACU
rnacentral:tmRNA from 1 species